CACGUAGUUAGCCGUGGCUUAUUCAAGAGGUACCGUCUUCUGCUCUUCCCUCUUAAAAGAAGUUUACAACCCGAAAGCCUUCUUCCUUCACGCGGCGUUGCUGGGUCAGGCCUGCGCCCAUUGCCCAAUAUUCCCCACUGCUGCCUCCCGUAGGAGUCUGGGCCGUAUCUCAGUCCCAAUGUGGCCGGUCAACCUCUCAGUCCGGCUACUGAUCGUCGCCUAGGUGGGCCGUUACCCCGCCUACUAGCUAAUCAGACGCGAGGCCAUCUUCCAGCGAUAAAUCUUUGGUGUCUCGAUGAUGCCAUCGAAACACAUCAUGCGGUAUUAGCAGUCGUUUCCAACUGUUGUCCCCCUCUGGAAGGCAGGUUCCUCACGCGUUACUCACCAGUCCGCCACUAAGCAUUCCCUUCCAUUCGUCCGAAAACUCUUUCAGGGGUGCUCCGUUGACUUGCAUGUGUUAAGCACGCCGCCAGCGUUCGUCCUGUAGCCAGGAUCAAACUCUA
rnacentral:rRNA from 1 species